AGUGAGUAUCCUGCUUUUCUUUGUGGUUAGAAUCAAGUGUCAUCUAAAAAUAACCGGUUGGUAGGAAGAAGUCACUGCAUAGUACAAUGCCAAGAAACCCGGGGAUCAGAGAGUCCUCCGAUAACUGAUGCUGCUCGGGGCUCACGUUUGUUUGGAAAACUAAAUCUGCCUCCAUUUUCUGUGCCGGAAAAAUCAUCGCUUCCUGCCACCACAGAAACCUUACCUUUUGCAGAAGCUGGGAACCGGAGUACUUAGCAGCAAUGGAUUUUAUCUCCCCACCAAAAGCCGAGGCCCAGAGCUUCACCCUACAGGGAGAAGGGGCACAGGAAGAUAUGUAACACCCGUGUCACAGUCAACACGCACGCACACGCACACGCACACAUGGGACUAUGGCUGAAGGAGCAGUGCGAUGUAACAUGUUUUAAAAGAAGAAAAGAUAGAAAAAGCGGCUUGGUAGAAACUGCCAGCACCAAAACUGCAAAGCGCAGCGCGGGAGGGGGCCCGAGGGGGGUCGCGGAGUUAAGAAUGCGCAAAGUCUCCCAGGCUCUCUAAAAAGACCACUGAGUUUCAUUCGAACCACUGCCCGAGGACUCGACCCCCCAAACUGGGCAUCACCUGGCAAAUAGCAGUCAGAAGAAAUCCACCCAUCCCCCCCCCAAAAAAAGAAGUGGGGCGGCAGUAGAGCAAAGAGGGGGGAAAUUCAGCGGCCCAUGGAAGUUGGAUUCGGUAACCAGGCUCCAAAGUUGGUGCCGUCACUUGAGGCAUCCAUAAGGAAGCCCAUUGACCUAAUUGCUGCCAUCAACCCAGGGACAAAGCCAAUCGGGUGGACAGCGGAGAGGCAAUAUGGGAAGGACCUUGGUCCUUGAAGAUAUUGUGCCACUAUAUCAAGCAACCGCUGAAGCCUGAAUUACCUCUGGAUGCCUAAUAACGUGGAACAAUAAAUUUCCUUAUUGUUUAAUUUGAGUCAGGAUUUAUGAUACUUGCUUCCAAUAGCAUCCCAUAGGGCACGUCCUUGUGGGUAAGGGUUGUUGUUGCUUUUAUUCCAAGAAGAACAGUCUUCUGAAAUUUGGGAGGAAGUUGCAUAAUUCUAAGAAAAAGGUUAUAAAACAGGGCCUGGUACAUUCCUCAUCACCACCACCACCCAAAAAAUGUUAAAUGAAAAAUGUAGAAAAUGAAAUUCCCUGCAUAUGAUCCCAACUGUACACACACACACACACACACACACACACACACACACAUACACACACACACAUUUUUAAAAAGACUGGUAAGAAAAACACUAAGUUAAGUGAUUGCUCUUAGGUAGUAAGAUUAUUACUAGUUAUUAUUUUUUAACCUCUGCUUUAUUUGGUUUGGUUCUUUAUAUUCUUCAGUACUUCCUGAUUUUCCUACAGUGAACAUGCUUUACUUUUUUAAUAGAUAUCAAAGACAAUAAUUGUUUUCUAUCUAAAUUUAUACUACCUAUCACAAAGGAAGUCACUUUGACUUUUUAAAAACAUAAUGGCCAAAUGAAAGCAAAAAAGUAGCAUAUUUGGUGCAAUCUAUUGGUGAAAGAAAAACAUUUCCAGUUUUUAUGUACUGUAUCCAGAGACUUAAAGAUUUAUGAUUG
rnacentral:lncRNA from 10 species